rnacentral:rRNA from 1 species
UACGGGGGGGGCAAGCGUUGUUCGGAAUCAUUGGGCGUAAAGGGCGUGUAGGUGGUUCUGUAUGUCUACCGUGAAAGCGUACGGCUCAACCGUAUUUAGUCGGUAGAAACUGCAGGACUUGAGGCUGGGAGGGGCUGGUGGAAUUCCCCGUGUAGCGGUGAAAUGCGUAGAGAUGGGGGAGAACACUCGUGGCGAAGGCGGCCAGCUAGACCAGUUCUGACACUGAGGCGCGACAGCGUGGGGAGCAAACAGG